AAUGUUUAAAAUACGGCGAGUGGGGAGGGUCACGCGCUGUAAUGACAUCUCCAGGACUCCGGAGGGCGCCAAAGAUUAACAGCGCAGCGCCGAACGCGUGCUCUUCUUCAGGUUUGAAUGAAAAGAGAGGCUUUGAUUUGUCUUCACUGGAGUUUCCAAAGAUGUCUCAAUGUCUGAGAUUUGCCAAACAAAGUCUGCAUCCAAAGAGUAAAUGAUCUGAUUUGUAAGACUGCGGCCGAUCGUCCUUGUGUCCGGUUCCCCCUCAACAUCUGUCUGCUCGUCCCAGUGUUUCCACGCACACGACCGGCCAAUCAGAAGGCGAGAUUUUCCCUCCCUUGAGUCCAGCAGGUGGCAUUGGCGAAUAUCGAAAGGAAUUACAUAAGUCUCCUUGUUUCCAGGUUCUUCAAAACAAGAGGAUGAGGGAGAUUUAAAGCACCGGUCCAAAGACAGAACACAAACGCGUGACUCUCCAGAGCAUCUCCAGGUAUCAUGAUGCAUUCCCAGUUCCCGGCCUUAAAACCAGUGUGUCCAGAUGAAAUUCGGACCAGUCGUGACUCGUGACUGACGCCCUGCAAUGCUCAAGGUGCAACCUCUUCCUUUGGACUUGAGAAAUACAAGAUUAAAAAAACUUUUCCACUCCUGCAUCUCUAUGGAAAAUGGUGGCAGUUGGCUCCUGCAUCACUUCCUCAGUCAUCGCCGUGGCGACACCACCCCCCCACCAGCAGGAGCAGAUGUAACCCAGCACUUUUCUGGGGCUUUUGCUGAGCCGAGAAAACAGCGCACAGGCCGAUGAGACAACAUCAGAACGCCUCAGUAAAACUCCGGUCAAACUCACACACAGACAUCAGAGUCGUUUUUCUUCCAGGUUGUAUUUCAACAUAUUGUCCUGCUGUUUGAGUUUUGCCUGAAGCCAGAUGACAGAUUGUUGAUGAGGUUUGACCACAAUCUCACCUUUGAAGAAAUGAAAUCUUGAAAUGUUGAAAAAAUACACACGAUGAAACGUAGCUUCUCAACCAGGGGCGGACUGGCCAUCUGGCGUUUUCCCAGUGGGCCGCUAUCGUUUGGGGCCGGAACGUACGCAUUGGCCGGUCAGACGGACGUAUUAUAAAUGCAAAUGAACGCAACGCGAACACAAAAGACACGUAUGCAUGCCACUCCCCCCCCCCAGUCGACAGACCUAUCCAUGUGCACCCCGCACCCCACCCCCCCCGUCGACAGAAAUGGUGGAGGGACGAUUUUUUCCCCAGGCCAGCCCUGUUCUCAACCGAGUUUGUUUUAGGACUUCAAAUAUCAACCCAACACAGGACCAAAGUUAUGUAUCAUUCAGUUUCAUCCCUUAUUAAACCAAAAUGUCCAUAACAUUAAACUGCAUAGAACAGUCUGAUCUGAAUUAUUAAACUGACAUUAUUCAUCUGAAAUAGAAAAUCUGUGGAAAUGUUUAUUCUUAAAUGUCUCUUUUUCAUGUCAUUGCAUAACAGACGCUGUUAAGACUCACUGCGGGUAAAUCUGUGUUUAAUGUACUGUAGUCUGGGGUUUUUUAUCGUGUGUAGUUUUAUUUAUGGCUGGAGGAUGAGGGCGCGUCACACAACCUGUCCAUGUUGGCAUGUGGCACGUUUGGCUUCUGCUGCCAACUGACAGAUGAAUUUGCACCAAAAUACCGAUUUGUUUGGACACGCGGCCAUUGACGUCAACAACAACCAAAGGACAUAUGGGAAGAGUUUUCUCCUUCCGUUCAGAAGUCGUAAGACAGCCGAACGCGAGCUGGACGGACAGAUAACAUGAUGAGUGAAUCCACCGACGGAAGGAAAACAGAGAGUGAUGGGAUAUGGGAACCGCGAGCGGGACGGCUGUGAAGCUCUGAAACGCUGGAGCGUGGCUGUGCGAGAUUGCGAGUAGUGUGGGUGAGAUGGUGGGCAGAGGAUGGGUUACAGAACAUUCACAGCGCAAUAAUACAGGGAUUUGUCAGGGCCAAUGGUGAUCAGGAGAAAAUGCGGCGUGUUUUGUGUGUGUGUGUUUGCUCAUGUCAAGUGCUUUUCUGUGGAUUGGAUUUGAUUACCAGACAGUUUGAAUCACAGUUCUGAGUCAUUAGUUUCAUUUGCCAGUUCUUCCAUAAGAGCUCUGAAACAUGCUGUAAAAAGAGCCCUCUCUCUCUCUCUCUCUCUCUCUCUCUCUCUCUCUCUCU